UUCUCAAAAUGGAAACAGGAA
rnacentral:miRNA from 1 species